GGUAUUGUGGUAUAAUGGUUUGAAUGUUGGACAAUGACUCUGGAGACUUAGGGUUCGAUUCCCAGCUUGACCA